GCUGGGCGCAGUGGCCCAUGCCCGUAAUCCUAGCAGCUCGGGGGCGGAGACAGGAGGAUCGCGAGUUCAAGGCCAGCCUCAGCAAAAGUGAGGUGCUAAGCAACUCAGACCCUGUCUCUA
rnacentral:sRNA from 1 species